AUGGACGAAAGUCUGACGGAGCAACGCCGCGUGAGCGAUGAAGGCCUUCGGGUCGUAAAGCUCUGUUGUCAGGGAAGAACAAGUAUCGGAGUAACUGCCGGUACCUUGACGGUACCUGACCAGAAAGCCACGGCUAACUACGUGCCAGCAGCCGCGGUAAUACGUAGGUGGCAAGCGUUGUCCGGAAUUAUUGGGCGUAAAGCGCGCGCAGGCGGUUCCUUAAGUCUGAUGUGAAAGCCCCCGGCUCAACCGGGGAGGGUCAUUGGAAACUGGGGAACUUGAGUGCAGAAGAGGAGAGCGGAAUUCCACGUGUAGCGGUGAAAUGCGUAGAGAUGUGGAGGAACACCAGUGGCGAAGGCGGCUCUCUGGUCUGUAACUGACGCUGAGGCGCGAAAGCGUGGGGAGCGAACAGGAUUAGAUACCCUGGUAGUCCACGCCGUAAACGAUGAGUGCUAAGUGUUAGAGGGUUUCCGCCCUUUAGUGCUGCAGCAAACGCAUUAAGCACUCCGCCUGGGGAGUACGGCCGCAAGGCUGAAACUCAAAGGAAUUGACGGGGGCCCGCACAAGCGGUGGAGCAUGUGGUUUAAUUCGAAGCAACGCGAAGAACCUUACCAGGUCUUGACAUCCUCUGACAACCCUAGAGAUAGGGCGUUCCCCUUCGGGGGACAGAGUGACAGGUGGUGCAUGGUUGUCGUCAGCUCGUGUCGUGAGAUGUUGGGUUAAGUCCCGCAACGAGCGCAACCCUUGAUCUUAGUUGCCAGCAUUCAGUUGGGCACUCUAAGGUGACUGCCGGUGACAAACCGGAGGAAGGUGGGGAUGACGUCAAAUCAUCAUGCCCCUUAUGACCUGGGCUACACACGUGCUACAAUGGAUGGAACAAAGGGCAGCGAAGCCGCGAGGUGAAGCCAAUCCCAUAAAACCAUUCUCAGUUCGGAUUGCAGGCUGCAACUCGCCUGCAUGAAGCCGGAAUCGCUAGUAAUCGCGGAUCAGCAUGCCGCGGUGAAUACGUUCCCGGGCCUUGUACACACCGCCCGUCACACCACGAGAGUUUGUAACACCCGAAGUCGGUGG
rnacentral:rRNA from 1 species